rnacentral:rRNA from 1 species
ACGGCCGUACCAUGCUGAAUAUACCGGUUCUCGUUAGAUCACCGAAGUCAAGCAUCAUUGGGCGCGGUCAGUACUUGGGUGGGUGACCACCUGGGAACCGUUG